CCCUUAGAUGUUCUGGGCCGCACGCGUGCUACACUGACGGAGGCAGCGAGCUUACCCCUUUGCCGAAAGGCAUGGGAAAUCUUUUGAAUCUCCGUCGUGCUGGGGAUAGAUCAUUGCAAUUAUUGAUCUUGAACGAGGAAUUCCUAGUAAGCGCAAGUCAUCAACUUGCGUUGAUUACGUCCCUGCCCUUUGUACACACCGCCCGUCGCUCCUACCGAUUGAAUGCUCAGGUGAGCCAUUCGGACCUUCAUCAUGCCGGUUUCCGGUUUUGAUGUGGGAAAGUCUUGCGAACCUUAUCAUUUAGAGGAAGGAGAAGUCGUAACA
rnacentral:rRNA from 1 species